UCGGCUUGUUGCAAGACAUCCCCAUAUAACGUAUUCUGUGUGCAAGUGAGUGCUCAUGUCCUCUUCGUUUCUUCCGGGGCACCCGAGGAGAAGAAGAAGAAGCAGAAGGGUCUGAAGAAAAGAAGGAAAAGAAAAA
ensembl:ncRNA F40H3.15 ncRNA